CCGAGCCGUAUGCGGUGAGAGUCGCACGUACGGUUCCACGGGGGGAGGGAUGCAGUAAUGCAUCCCUCCUACCCAAC
rnacentral:ncRNA from 1 species